GUACUGAUGAAGAGUCCCAAACUAGUUGGGACGAAACAGCUGUCCGGUAA
rnacentral:hammerhead_ribozyme from 1 species